GUCUCGUUUGUCACCUCAAAGCAUCUCUGGAACAUAGCCUUGGUGUACAGUUUUUUGAAAUUUGAGAUAACUUGCUGGUGCAUGGUCUGGAUGAGAGGAG